rnacentral:pre_miRNA from 1 species
GGAAGUUAAGAAACUAUUUCUUAACUUUUAACUAAAAAAGCUAAGAACCGGUUCUUAAAUAAGGAUUUUAAGAACCGAUUCUUAGUUUUUUAGUUAAAAGUUAAGAAACAGUUUCUUAAUUUCU